GGAAUUGAAUACCACUCCAGGUAGCAGGUAGAAGAUUGUGCCUCUAGCAGUGGCUGAGCAGUGUGAGUUUGUGUGUUUGACCUUUACCGCAGAAUGUUACUGUUAUUGUCUCUGCCAGGAGGGGACAACGGAAGCUUAUGAAUUGGCAGCGAUCUUGCUAGCAAGCUGACACUGGCUGAGAACCAACUUACCAACCAUAGACGAUUCAUCAUUGCUACCAACACACAAACAGAGGGGGACAUUGCAGUGUUAAAAAAAUGGACACCCCUCUGUAUGGUCAGCCUAGUCAAUGGGGGACGCAGCUGAAGAGAACUCCGGUAAGCAAGAUGGAAGGACAUCUGACAAGAAGCUUGACAGACCUGAGUCAGGUUGGGACCAACAUGGUUGAGUACCUGCACCAGGUGGAGGUGACCAGACCCCACCCAUUUGUGUUGGCUCUUGAGGACUGCUCACGGGUGUUUACAGUCAUUAGUGGACCGGCAUUGGAGCAAGGUACACUGCUUGGGGCACUGGAUGUGUGCUUCAAGUCCUACUGUGUUUAAUAUCAACUUUCCCAUUGUGCCCCAGCAUGGGAAUUCCUACAGACCAAGGUGUAUCAGCUGCCAGGAACAGAAUCCUCCGUAAGGCUGUCUUUUUUUCUACUGAACAAUAGUGGAUAAGUAUCUGCUCUUGUAUGUAGUGGGAGAAGUGAACGGAGGAAGCACAUGUGUUCCUGUGAAUUAAUAGAUCAGUGGAUGGAUGAGACAUGAGCGUCACAUUCCAAUGCUAAUAUGCUCUUAUGGCACUAUUUAUAGCUCUGUUAAAAGUACUUUUCGUUUGUUUUUUAAUGCAUUUGUGCCUGCUUUUUGCCAACAGUAUGGUAUGUGGCUCGUUUCACAUUAGUUCAACUACUGAAGCGUGCUCUGGUAUGCUUUCAUUCUAUCACAACUAUUUAUUAUAAAUACAAAUGUUACAUUUUUGGGAUUGUGAAAAGUGCUUUAUGAAUGAAAUAUAUAGUUGAUGUCGGAAGUUUACAUACACUUAGGUUGGAGUCAUUAAAACUUGUUUUUAAACC